rnacentral:tRNA from 1 species
GGACAGUUGGCCGAGUGGUUAUGGCGCCAGUUUCAGGUCAACCUGAUUCACAUCUGCUCUAUAGCAUACUGGUUUCUUACGAUUCGGGGGUUCGAAUCCCCCACUGUUCA